rnacentral:snoRNA from 1 species
AAAAUAUAUUUUAGUUUGUGGGCUGGGAAACCAAGAGCUCUUAAUGCUAUACCCAAAGACUGAAGUUCUUUAUAGGACACCAUACACACGAAAUAGUGCUAUGUUUUCCUAAGGAGAUCCAAGA